AUGGCAUCCAAGCUAUUCAGUCCAAAAAAUCUGCGCAUCUUCUCCCCGAGGCCGCACAUGCUGGAUGAGGCGUUCUGUUACGGGCCGUUUAACCGUAGUAUGCAGAGGAGGUGGAAGAAGCCGGUGGACUCAGCACGGACCCGCCUGGAGGGCAGAACAAGGGACCAUAGGCUGGACAAGCUGAUGCUCCAACUCAAGAACCUGAGGCUCGCCUUGGAUUUGCAUGCCGUGAUAUCCCAGCAGAGGAACGGCUACGCGUCCCUCCAGCUCCUUCUGAGGUGGAGGCGUGAGAUCGGUCUCAACACCGAGAUCGGCGCUUUCCUCAAGAAAUACCCCCACAUUUUCGAGAUUUACGUGCACCCUGUCAAAAGGAACCAUUGCUGCAGGAUCACCCGAAAGAUGGCUGAUUUGGUCGCGGAAGAAGACGCUGUCCUCAGGGAAAAUGAGCCGGCCGUGGUUCAGCGGCUCAAGAAACUUCUCAUGAUGUCUACCGAUGGAACUCUCAAUAUGCAUGCGUUAUGGCUCAUAAGGAAGGAGCUUGGCCUGCCCGAUGACUACAGGUCUUCUAUGCUGCCAAACCAUCAGUCUGAUUUUUCUCUUGAAACCCCUGAUACCCUGACUUUGAUCAGUCGUAGGGAUGAGAAUCUGGCUGUUGCUAGUGUCGAAGAAUGGAGGGACAAGGAGUAUACAGAAAAAUGGUUAGCGGAAUAUGAGACCAAAUAUGCUUUUCCAGUAAACUUCCCUACAGGCUUUAAGAUUGAGAAAGGUUUUAGGGAAAAGCUUAAGAAUUGGCAGAGGCUUCCCUACACCAAACCUUACGAGAAGAAUGAUUUGCAUCCAAUCACCAACGCUGAGAGGCUUGAGAAACGUAUUGUUGGUAUUCUUCAUGAACUCUUAAGCUCGACAGUCGAAAAGAUGGUGCCACUUGAGAGGUUGUCACAUUUCAGGAGACCAUUUUCGAUGGAGGUAAACUUGCGGGAACUUCUUCUUAAGCACCCUGGCAUUUUCUACAUCUCGACUAAAGGAAGCACACAAACUGUGCUUCUUAGGGAGAGUUAUAAUAAAGGAUGUUUGCUUGAGCCAAACCCUGUUUAUAGCGUGCGAAGGAAAAUGCUAGAUCUGAUUUUGGCUGGAUGUCGUGGCAUUGUUCAAACUGAAAAUGCCAUCUCGCUUGUUGAGGAGGAUAGCCAGGGAAGCAGUCAGAAUCACACAUGCCAGGUGGAUAACAUGAAUUCCAUGUCAGAGUCUGAAAGUGACUCCUCUGUAGAGCCAUUUUCUUGA
rnacentral:rRNA from 1 species